rnacentral:rRNA from 1 species
UACGAAGGGUGCAAGCGUUACUCGGAAUUACUGGGCGUAAAGCGUGCGCAGGCGGUUGUGCAAGACAGAUGUGAAAUCCCCGGGCUUAACCUGGGAAUUGCAUUUGUGACUGCACGGCUAGAGUGUGUCAGAGGGGGGUAGAAUUCCACGUGUAGCAGUGAAAUGCGUAGAUAUGUGGAGGAAUACCGAUGGCGAAGGCAGCCCCCUGGGAUAACACUGACGCUCAUGCACGAAAGCGUGGGGAGCAAACAGG